UACGUAGGGUGCGAGCGUUGUCCGGAAUUAUUGGGCGUAAAGAGCUCGUAGGCGGCCUGUCGCGUCGGAUGUGAAAGCCCGGGGCUUAACCCCGGGUCUGCAUUCGAUACGGGCAGGCUAGAGUUCGGUAGGGGAGAUCGGAAUUCCUGGUGUAGCGGUGAAAUGCGCAGAUAUCAGGAGGAACACCGGUGGCGAAGGCGGAUCUCUGGGCCGAUACUGACGCUGAGGAGCGAAAGCAUGGGGAGCGAACAGG
rnacentral:rRNA from 1 species